AGCGAACGCUGGCGGCAGGCCUAAAACAUGCAAGUCGAACGCCCUAGCAAUAGGGAGUGGCAGACGGGUGAGUAACACGUGGGAACGUGCCUUUUGGUUCGGAACAACACAGGGAAACUUGUGCUAAUACCGGAUAAGCCCUUACGGGGAAAGAUUUAUCGCCAAAAGAUCGGCCCGCGUCUGAUUAGCUAGUUGGUGGGGUAACGGCCCACCAAGGCUACGAUCCGUAACUGGUCUGAGAGGAUGAUCAGUCACACUGGAACUGAGACACGGCACAGACUCCUACGGGAGGCAGCAGUGGGGAAUAUUGGACAAUGGGCGAAAGCCUGAUCCAGCAAUGCCGCGUGAGUGAUGAAGGCCUUAGGGUUGUAAAGCUCUUUUACCCGGGAUGAUAAUGACAGUACCGGGAGAAUAAGCUCCGGCUAACUCCGUGCCAGCCGCCGCUGUAA
rnacentral:rRNA from 1 species